ACCAGGAUGGGUGAGUGGUUAAGGCGUUGGACUUAAGUUUCAAUGGAUACAGAUCCGCGUGGGUUCGAUGCCCACUUCUGGUG